AUUUUCAUUGAAACUUUCGUCUUUACGAGUGAAUUAAUUUCCCAUUUUUCUCGAUAUUCAACUUUUUUAUCUUUCUGAAUUCUGAUUGAUGUUUAUUUGAUUACUUGCUUAAUUUCACAUCCCCAGAAUCUUAAAAAAUGGGGUUGAAGGAAUUUUGUGGGGUUCUUUAGGGUUUUAGCUUCAAAAAUUUAGGUGAAAAAGAGAGGAAACAGAGAUGUUAGAUGCAAGAAGGCCUCAUUUUCUUGUGGGUUUUAACCCUUUCAUGAAUUCUGAAAAAUUGAAAAUUCCAUCAAAAUUCAUUAAACAUAUGGAAGGAGGGGAUUCUGGAACAACAGUUCUGGUGGGUCCCAGUGGAAAUGCUUGGCCUGUGGACUUAAUACAGCAAGAUGAUGGUUUAUUCUUCAAUAAUGGAUGGGUUUCAUUUGUUAAAGAUCACUGCCUUGAAACAGGGGAUUCUUUGGUUUUCAGAUAUGACGGUGAUUUGCAUUUCACUGUGCAAGUAUUUGACGAGAGUUCAUGUGAGAAGGAGGCUUCUUAUAAUGCUGACUGCAGUCAAGGAGCAACUGACUUGUACAAUCUUGCUCUGAAAAAAAGAGACCGAGGAAACUCUGUUUUAUUAGAUUGUAUGGUUGAAGGUGUACCGAAGAAAAUGAAAAGCACCGAGAUCCCUUCCGAAUGCACAAGUAGCCAGGAUACACAUGGUCUUGCAUCUAGCAAGGAUGGGUACACUCCAGAAGAUGCAGUUUGCUCAUAUGCAGGAAGAAAUUAUGCUGCUAGUUUUCUGGAUGAAAUGGAGAAUGCUGGAGAUGCAUUAAACAGUAAAGUUACCAUUGCUGUGCCAGCUCAAGCAAAGAUAAUCUUUAGCAAUCCAGGCAAUGCUUCCUCCGAGAAAGAUAUGUGGUUGCCUGCACAGGAAGCAGAAAAGGUUGCUGGUUUGUUUACCUCAAGUUUGCCCAGCUUUACUAAAGUUAUGAAGAGGUUCAACAUCAGUGGCUCAUACACCCUGCAUAUCCCUUACCAAUUUGCCACGGAACACCUUCCCAACUGCAAGGUGAAGAUUUUACUUCAUAAUUUAGAAGGGAAAACUUGGACUGUGAAUUCAAUUCCGACUACAAGAGUACAAACAUCACAUACCUUUUGCGGAGGGUGGUUAUCUUUUGUUCGCGACAAUAACAUUGAUUUGGGAGAUACCUGCAUUUUUGAGCUUGUCCGCAAGUGUGAAUUGCGUGUGCGUGUUCUUAAGGCGGAAAAGGAAGGAAGUGAUUACAGUAGUAAGGUAGUUGAUGAAGGACUAGUUAUUGAUUAUGCAAAAAAUUCUGGAUGUAAGUCCAGGAAAGUGGGAUCGAGUUCUGAUCAAGCGAAGGUUAUGACAUAUGAUAAAAAAGGAUCUACUCCUGAAAAAGAGAAACAUGGCGAUAUGUUGAAGAAUCAUCAGCUCCAUUCUCAGUCAAAGAUUAGCAGUGGAGAUUCAGCUAUCAGGAAACCUACUAGUUCUCAAGAUAAACAGGGUUCUUUCACCAAGAGCUGUAUGUCUAUGAAAUCAGUACCUGAAGAGAAAUUAGCCGCUGAGUCUUUCAUUUCCAAUUUCCCUCAUUUCGUGCGAAUCAUGAAAAAAUUCAACAUUAGUGGCUCUUACACCUUGAAAGUUCCAUGUCGGUUCUCAAUGGAACACCUCCCAAACUGCAGAACAGAGAUUGUGCUUCAGAACUUGAAAGGAGAAUGUUGGACUGUAAAUUCAAUUCCGACUGUAAAGGUACAAACGCUGCACACAUUCUGUGGAGGAUGGUCGGCAUUUGUCCGGGAGAAUGACAUCCAGAUGGGAGAUAUCUGCAUAUUUGAGCUCAUUGGGAAAUAUGAAAUGCGUGUACAUGUAUGUGCAAUUGGGAAGAAGGGGUUAGAUUACCAAAAUGGGACAGCUCCUAAAGAGUCGGAUAUCCUUGCUUCCUUGACAAGCUAGAGACCUUUGGUGUGAAACACUGUAGGAAAGAUUACUUCUUGCGUAAUACAAGGCUUGGUGUUUCACUGGAAGAUAACGAAACUUGAAUACAUGGGAUCAGAAAAGGUACACAUAUCAAUGUUAUGGAGAAGCACUUGAGUAGAUUAUCAAACAUUUGACUAGGUUGGCCAUAUGCCUUCAGUAGCUUAGAUGUUUUGUUGUUGGCAUUGUCUGAGCACUCUUUUCAGACUCUGUGUUGUAUAAGUACUGCCAGAAAAGCUUCUCAUUUUCUUGAUGUAAAUAAGUGUGUUUUUAGUUCAAUUGUCCUGAAACAAUCUGCUGUUUGGUCUGUAUAUGUAUAAACAGUAAUCAGACAGAACAUCUUCUAGAAUGAGAAAUUAAAGUUUCACUCUACUGGA